AGUCGAACGGUGAAGCCCAGCUUGCUGGGUGGAUCAGUGGCGAACGGGUGAGUAACACGUGAGCAAUCUGCCCCUGACUCUGGGAUAAGCGCUGGAAACGGCGUCUAAUACUGGAUACGAACCGUGGAGGCAUCUUCAACGGUUGGAAAGAUUUUUUGGUCAGGGAUGAGCUCGCGGCCUAUCAGCUUGUUGGUGAGGUAAUGGCUCACCAAGGCGUCGACGGGUAGCCGGCCUGAGAGGGUGACCGGCCACACUGGGACUGAGACACGGCCCAGACUCCUACGGGAGGCAGCAGUGGGGAAUAUUGCACAAUGGGCGCAAGCCUGAUGCAGCAACGCCGCGUGAGGGAUGACGGCCUUCGGGUUGUAAACCUCUUUUAGCAGGGAAGAAGCGAAAGUGACGGUACCUGCAGAAAAAGCGCCGGCUAACUACGUGCCAGCAGCCGCGGUAAUACGUAGGGCGCAAGCGUUAUCCGGAAUUAUUGGGCGUAAAGAGCUCGUAGGCGGUUUGUCGCGUCUGCUGUGAAAUCCCGAGGCUCAACCUCGGGUCUGCAGUGGGUACGGGCAGACUAGAGUGCGGUAGGGGAGAUUGGAAUUCCUGGUGUAGCGGUGGAAUGCGCAGAUAUCAGGAGGAACACCGAUGGCGAAGGCAGAUCUCUGGGCCGUAACUGACGCUGAGGAGCGAAAGGGUGGGGAGCAAACAGGCUUAGAUACCCUGGUAGUCCACCCCGUAAACGUUGGGAACUAGUUGUGGGGUCCAUUCCACGGAUUCCGUGACGCAGCUAACGCAUUAAGUUCCCCGCCUGGGGAGUACGGCCGCAAGGCUAAAACUCAAAGGAAUUGACGGGGACCCGCACAAGCGGCGGAGCAUGCGGAUUAAUUCGAUGCAACGCGAAGAACCUUACCAAGGCUUGACAUAUACGAGAACGCUGCAGAAAUGUAGAACUCUUUGGACACUCGUAAACAGGUGGUGCAUGGUUGUCGUCAGCUCGUGUCGUGAGAUGUUGGGUUAAGUCCCGCAACGAGCGCAACCCUCGUUCUAUGUUGCCAGCACGUAAUGGUGGGAACUCAUGGGAUACUGCCGGGGUCAACUCGGAGGAAGGUGGGGAUGACGUCAAAUCAUCAUGCCCCUUAUGUCUUGGGCUUCACGCAUGCUACAAUGGCCGGUACAAAGGGCUGCAAUACCGUAAGGUGGAGCGAAUCCCAAAAAGCCGGUCCCAGUUCGGAUUGAGGUCUGCAACUCGACCUCAUGAAGUCGGAGUCGCUAGUAAUCGCAGAUCAGCAACGCUGCGGUGAAUACGUUCCCGGGUCUUGUACACACCGCCCGUCAAGUCAUGAAAGUCGGUAACACCUGAAGCCGGUGGCCCAACCCUUGUGGAGGGAGCCGUCGAAGGUGG
rnacentral:rRNA from 1 species